AACGCUGUGAGCGCAUGCCUGAAAUAAACCCUGCAAAGCAGCGAGGCCGACGUGGGCAUGACCUCACAUCUGAUGAAUUCAACAGGACACAGUGUGCCAGCUGGCUAAACGUCUGUUCGGGAGUGCUGGUGAUAAUGAGCAUUGUUGGACACUACCUCGACAACAGCGCUGGAUUAUUACGAGCAGUCCUCUUUCUGGUAAACAGCUCCUCCACUUACCGGCAAUACACGGAUACACUCAGCCAGUCAGACACUUAACAGAUCGUGUGUGUUUCUGAGACAGUUCGCAGAAGACUGAAAGUGAGUCAGAGGCAAAGGAUCUCAAGGAGAGGAAAUUAAAUACAUCCCAGCUGGCUGAGGAGGCAAAAGCACACAGCUCAAGUUAGGGCCGGAGCCAGAAACCUGGAAAAUACGCCGUGUUUUGAGGAUCGUGUAAGAGUGGAUACACACAUCUGAAUAAGAGGAAUGGGCAGAGCGGUGGUGCAGACUGGAUCCCCGAGGUCAAGAUACAUUUCACGCUUGUGUGAGGAAAAAGGUGAAGCGCUUGGCUGACAAUGGAAGUUUCCUACAGUUGAGACAUUGGGAUUAUUUGCCUCAAUUCUUCACUGUUUUUUGUCUUACAGAAAAGAAUAAAGUGCAUUCCCUGGUUAGGCAGAUACUUCAAAAUGUGAAUCUCUAUACUGGAGCAUCUUCCCCAUAGUUUUCCAUUUUGACUAAGCAAAAACUGUUUCAGCUGUUUUAAAAAGGUCCAACCAAACUAUGAAGAUCAAAUGUUCCAGCAAACGGACAAUUCUGGACUCGGGGUGGAGUAUUUAGCCUCAGUAAUAUCCAUUUGCAUAUGCAUUUGCUUAAUAUGCCUUCAAGUAAAAUCACUACAAU